CCCGCUGAACUUAAGCAUAUCAAUAAGCGGAGGAAAAGAAACCAACAGGGAUUGCCUUAGUAACGGCGAGUGAAGCGGCAAAAGCUCAAAUUUGAAAUCGGCCCCCAGGUCGAGUUGUAAUUUGUAGAUUGUAUCUUGAGAGCGGAU
rnacentral:rRNA from 1 species